rnacentral:rRNA from 1 species
UGGGGAAUAUUGCACAAUGGGCGCAAGCCUGAUGCAGCCAUGCCGCGUGUAUGAAGAAGGCCUUCGGGUUGUAAAGUACUUUCAGCGGGGAGGAAGGGAGUAAAGUUAAUACCUUUACUCAUUGACGUUACCCGCAGAAGAAGCACCGGCUAACUCCGUGCCAGCAGCCGCGGUAAUACGGAGGGUGCAAGCGUUAAUCGGAAUUACUGGGCGUAAAGCGCACGCAGGCGGUUUGUUAAGUCAGAUGUGAAAUCCUCGGGCUCAACCUGGGAACUGCAUCUGAUACUGGCAAGCUUGAGUCUCGUAGAGGGGGGUAGAAUUCCAGGUGUAGCGGUGAAAUGCGUAGAGAUCUGGAGGAAUACCGGUGGCGAAGGCGGCCCCCUGGACGAAGACUGACGCUCAGGUGCGAAAGCGUGGGGAGCAAACAGG